rnacentral:rRNA from 1 species
UGGUGGAGUGAUUUGUCUGCUUAAUUGCGAUAACGAACGAGACCUUAACCUGCUAACUAGUCCGUAUUACCCCGGUAGUACGCCGACUUCUUAGAGGGACUAUCGGCUCAAGCCGAUGGAAGUUUGAGGCAAUAACA